AUUGAACGCUGGCGGCAGGCCUAACACAUGCAAGUCGAGCGGAGCGGCGGACGGGUGAGUAAUGCCUAGGAAUCUGCCUGGUAGUGGGGGAUAAGGUCCGGAAACGGGCGCUAAUACCGCAUACUAUCAGAUGAGCCUAGGUCGGAUUGGCUAGUUGGUGGGGGAAAGGCCUACCAAGGCGACGGGCCGUAACUGGUCUGAGAGGAUGAUCAGCCACACUGGAACUGAGACACGGUCCAGACUCCUACGGGAGGCAGCAGUGGGGAAUAUUGCACAAUGGGCGCAAGCCUGAUGCAGCCAUGCCGCGUGUAUGAAGAAGGCCUUCGGGUUGUAAAGUACUUUCAGCGGGGAGGCGUUACCCGCAGAAGAAGCACCGGCUAACUCCGUGCCAGCAGCCGCGGUAAUUC
rnacentral:rRNA from 1 species